GAUGAACGCUAGCGGGAGGCUUAACACAUGCAAGUCGAGGGGCAGCAUAGGGUAGCAAUACUCUGAUGGCGACCGGCAAACGGGUGAGUAGCGCGUAUGCAACCUACCCUGUACAGGGGGAUAACCCGGAGAAAUUCGGACUAAUAUCCCGUAAUAAUAUCCGGAGGCAUCUUUGGAUAUUUAAAGUUCCGACGGUACGGGAUGGGCAUGCGUAACAUUAACUGGUUGGUAAGGUAACGGCUUACCAAGGCUAUGAUGUUUAGGGGUCCUGAGAGGGUGGUCCCCCACACUGGUACUGAGACACGGACCAGACUCCUACGGGAGGCAGCAGUGAGGAAUAUUGGUCAAUGGGCGCAAGCCUGAACCAGCCAUCCCGCGUGCAGGAAGACGGCCCUAUGGGUUGUAAACUGCUUUUCCAGGGAGAGAAACUUACGCACGUGUUGCGUGACUGACGGUACCCUGGGAAUAAGCAUCGGCUAACUCCGUG
rnacentral:rRNA from 1 species